rnacentral:tRNA from 1 species
GCACCCGUGGUGAAAUGGAUAUCAUUCCGGUCUUCGGAACCGUCGUUCCAGGUUCGAAUCCUGGCGGGUGCACCA